rnacentral:rRNA from 1 species
AUUGAAUGCUGGCGGCAUGCUUUACACAUGCAAGUCGGACGAGUGGCGAACGGGUGAGUAAUAUAACGGCACGUACCGAGUAAUGGGGGAUAACUAAUCGAAAGAUUAGCUAAUACCGCAUAUUAUUCGAGCGGCCGAUAUCUGAUUAGCUAGUUGGUGGGGUAAUGGCCUACCAAGGCGCCGAUCAGUAGCGGGUCUGAGAGGAUGAUCCGCCGCACUGGGAAUGGGAAACGGCCCAAACACCAUCGUGAGGCAGCGGUGGGGAAUUUUGGACAAUGGGCGCAAGCCGAAUCCGGCCCUGCCGAGAGUCUGAAGAAGGCCUGCGGGUUGUAAAGUACUGUUGUCAGGGAAGCGGUACCUGAAGAAUAAGCACCGGCAAACUACGGGCCAGCAGCCGCGGUAAUAC